CAGUGCUCAGCCCGGGGUGACCCGGCGUCGCGGAGCUGCCGAGGCCCGGGCCGCCCGUCCGGGGACUCGCGGGCAGCGUGUGAGGAGUAACUCAGAUCACCUUGACUGGAAAUCAGAUUGCUGAAUUUAUUGAAGCAGCUGUUCUUGAAUUUGAAGAAAAGUUCUCCAUACAGAGGCUUCCUGAUUGAACGGAGGAGUGUGGCCCUUCCUCCAAGCUCUGCCUGGACCACCAC